rnacentral:rRNA from 1 species
AUUGAACGCUGGCGGCAUGCUUUACACAUGCAAGUCGAACGGUAACAGGCCGCAAGGUGCUGACGAGUGGCGAACGGGUGAGUAAUGCAUCGGAACGUGCCCAGUCGUGGGGGAUAACUACUCGAAAGAGUAGCUAAUACCGCAUACGAUCUAUGGAUGAAAGCGGGGGACCGUAAGGCCUCGCGCGAUUGGAGCGGCCGAUGUCAGAUUAGGUAGUUGGUGGGGUAAAGGCUCACCAAGCCAACGAUCUGUAGCUGGUCUGAGAGGACGACCAGCCACACUGGGACUGAGACACGGCCCAGACCCCUACGGGAGGCAGCAGUGGGGAAUUUUGGACAAUGGGCGCAAGCCUGAUCCAGCAAUGCCGCGUGCAGGAAGAAGGCCUUCGGGUUGUAAACUGCUUUUGUACGGAACGAAACGGCUCUGGUUAAUACCCGGGGCUUAUGACGGUACCGUAAGAAUAAGCACCGGCUAACUACGUG